rnacentral:rRNA from 1 species
AUGCACGCUGGCGGCGUGCCUCAUACAUGCAAGUCGAGCGAACAGAUGAGGAGCUUGCUCCUCUGACGUUAGCGGCGGACGGGUGAGUAACACGUGGAUAACCUACCUAUAAGACUGGGAUAACUUCGGGAAACCGGAGCUAAUACCGGAUAAUAUAUUGAACCGCAUGGUUCAAUAGUGAAAGACGGUUUUGCUGUCACUUAUAGAUGGAUCCGCGCCGCAUUAGCUAGUUGGUAAGGUAACGGCUUACCAAGGCAACGAUGCGUAGCCGACCUGAGAGGGUGAUCGGCCACACUGGAACUGAGACACGGUCCAGACUCCUACGGGAGGCAGCAGUAGGGAAUCUUCCGCAAUGGGCGAGAGCCUGACGGAGCAACGCCGCGUGAGUGAUGAAGGUCUUCGGAUCGUAAAACUCUGUUAUUAGGGAAGAACAAAUGUGUAAGUAACUAUGCACGUCUUGACGGUACCUAAUCAGAAAGCCACGGCUAACUACGUG